rnacentral:rRNA from 1 species
UGGGGAAUAUUGCACAAUGGGCGAAAGCCUGAUGCAGCGACGCCGCGUGGAGGACGAAGGUUUUCGGAUUGUAAACUCCUGUUAAGUGGGAAGAAAGACUAAUACCUAAUACGUAUUGGGGAUGACGGUACCACUAGAGAAAGCACCGGCAAACUUCGUGCCAGCAGCCGCGGUAAUACGAAGGGUGCGAGCGUUAUUCGGAAUAACUGGGUGUAAAGAGUGUGUUGGCGGUUUCUUAAGUCAGUUGUUAAAGCGCUCGGCUUAACUGGGCAAAUGCGAUUGAAACUGGGAGACUAGAGUACGGGAGAGAAAGGUAGAAUUCUCGGAGUAGCGGUAAAAUGCGUAGAUCUCGAGAGGAAUACCGGUUGCGAAGGCGGCCUUUUGGUCCGUUACUGACGCUUAAGCACGAAAGCGUGGGGAGCAAACAG